rnacentral:rRNA from 1 species
CGUAGGGAGCUAGCGUUGUCCGGAAUCAUUGGGCGUAAAGCGCGCGUAGGCGGCCCGGUAAGUCCGCUGUGAAAGUCAAAGGCUCAACCUUUGAAUGUCAGCGGAUACUGCCGGGCUAGAGUCCGGAAGAGGCGAGUGGAACUCCUGGUGUAGCGGUGGAAUGCGCAGAUAUCAGGAGGAACACCAAUUGCGAAGGCAGCUCGCUGGGACGUUACUGACGCUGAGACGCGAAAGCGUGGGGAGCAAACAGG